rnacentral:rRNA from 1 species
CCUACGGGAGGCUGCAGUGAGGAAUAUUGGUCAAUGGCCGAGAGGCUGAACCAGCAAAGUCGCGUGAGGGAAGACGGCCCUACGGGUUGUAAACCCCUUUUUUCGGGGAGCAAAACGUACCACGUGUGGUUCAUUGAGCGUACCCGAACAAAAAGCAUCGGCUAACUCCGUUCCAGCAGCCGCGGUAAUACUGCGGAUGCGCGCGUUAUCCGGUUUUAUUGGGGUUAAGGGGUGCGCAGGUGGAGGUGCAAGUCAGCGGUCAAAUUGCGGGGCUCAACCCCGUACUGCCGUUGAAACUGCAUCCCUUGAGUGCGCGAGAAGUAUGCGGAAUGCGUGGUGUAGCGGUGAAAUGCAUAGAUAUCACGCAGAACUCCGAUUGCGAAGGCAGUUCACUGGACUGCAACUGACACUGAGGCUCGAAAGUGUGGGUAUCAAACAGGAUUAGAUACCCGUGUAGUC